GACGAACGCUGGCGGCGUGCUUAACACAUGCAAGUCGAACGGAAAGGCCCUGCUUUUGUGGGGUGCUCGAGUGGCGAACGGGUGAGUAACACGUGAGUAACCUGCCCUUGACUUUGGGAUAACUUCAGGAAACUGGGGCUAAUACCGGAUAGGAGCUCCUGCUGCAUGGUGGGGGUUGGAAAGUUUCGGCGGUUGGGGAUGGACUCGCGGCUUAUCAGCUUGUUGGUGGGGUAGUGGCUUACCAAGGCUUUGACGGGUAGCCGGCCUGAGAGGGUGACCGGCCACAUUGGGACUGAGAUACGGCCCAGACUCCUACGGGAGGCAGCAGUGGGGAAUAUUGCACAAUGGGCGGAAGCCUGAUGCAGCAACGCCGCGUGCGGGAUGACGGCCUUCGGGUUGUAAACCGCUUUCGCCUGUGGCGAAGCGUGAGUGACGGUAAUGGGUAAAGAAGCACCAGCUAACUACGUG
rnacentral:rRNA from 1 species